rnacentral:lncRNA from 1 species
AAUCUUUCUAAAAUUUGAACGAUCCGUCUCUGUCUCAGUCGAAUCGACUCAACCCCCUCUUAUUGGAUUCCAAGCAGCUGUUCACGUCUCGUUUGUCACGAUAAACAUAUCCGUCGCGUAAAGGCCAUCGAGAGAGUCUCUCCUUCUACCGACCUUCUUCUCCUUCUCCUCACUCUCUCCUACUUGGGUCCCCCGUGGCACACAGGUGUACUGGACGGCGUUCCUCGGCCUCCAUACGCUUUCAGUUAACGCCUGGUCGUCGCUAGGUAUGCCAGCUCCCUCGUGGAUACUGCCAGUUUGCCUGUGAUCCGUUUUACCUGGCUUCGUGACCUGGCUUUGUCUCGAUCAUCUCAAUCAUCCUCGCGUCGAUAUUUCUUUCUUUCUUUCUUUCUUUCUUUUUUUUUCUCUCUCUUUUUCUUUUCCUUUUCUCGGUGGAACUCGGUAGUUUUUGUGAGUGAUUGGGACGGAAGAGGAAACGUGGGAGAAACUUUUAUGUUUAUUUAUGAAACUAAGUGGGUGGCUGGCUCGUGGGAGUUUGACUCAUCGGUGUAUUCUUUUUUUGGAUGAUCCGAGCCACCGAAGCGUGAGUGUCUACGCGAGUAACAGUUUUCCGCCUUGGUUCCUAAAACUUUCACGGUUAUUCGCCCGGGCCCCCACAACUUCGUGAGAGAUUGUCUUCUCGUAUAUAGGGAACGAGAGCUGAUGAAUAGCGAACGGAAGUCGAUCGUCUCGUCGGAUCGGAAGCUGUGAACUUAGAACGUUCUCACGAUUCACGAAGGUGAAACGAUGCGGUGAUACCCGAGGAACCCCGCCUCAACACCCGUACAUAUCAAUUCAUAUCUCUGCCCGAUAAACAUCGCCAAACAUCAAUCGACCAAUCAAACGAAGCAUAUCGAAACGCAAUGAAGAGCCAACGA